GUCAACGUUUAUUCAUAAAUCUGGUCCUUCACCGUCACGUGUGUAUUGUAUUUUUGCCCAAUCCACUAAUAGCAAUUGUAAUUUUCCUAAAACAUUGCUGUUGGUUAGUUGGGCAAAAAUACGAUACACAUGUGACAGUGAAGGACCAGAUUUAUGAAUAAAUGUUGAC
rnacentral:miRNA from 1 species